GAUGAACGCUGGCGGCGUGCCUAAUACAUGCAAGUCGAGCGAACGGACGAGAAGCUUGCUUCUCUGAUGUUAGCGGCGGACGGGUGAGUAACACGUGGAUAACCUACCUAUAAGACUGGGAUAACUUCGGGAAACCGGAGCUAAUACCGGAUGAUAUUUUGAACCGCAUGGUUCAAAAGUGAAAGACGGUCUUGCUGUCACUUAUGGAUGGAUCCGCGCUGCAUUAGCUAGUUGGUAAGGUAACGGCUUACCAAGGCAACGAUGCAUAGCCGACCUGAGAGGGUGAUCGGCCACCCUGGGACUGAGACACGGUCCAGACUCCUACGGGAGGCAGCAGUAGGGAAUCUUCCGCAAUGGGCGAAAGCCUGACGGAGCAACGCCGCGUGAGUUAUGAAGGUCUUCGGAUCUUAAAACUCUGUUAUUAGGGAAGAACAUAUGUGUAAGUAACUGUGCACAUCUUGACGGUACCUAAUCAGAAAGCCACGGCUAACUACGUA
rnacentral:rRNA from 1 species